rnacentral:rRNA from 1 species
GGCGACGAUACAUAGGGGGACUGAGAGGAUUACCCUUCACAUUGGUACUGAGACACGGUCCAAACUCCUACGGGAGGCAGCAGUGAGGAAUAUUGGUCAAUGGACGCAAGUCUGAACCAGCCAUGCCGCGUGCAGGAUGACGGCUCUAUGAGUUGUAAACUGCUUUUGUACGAGGGUAAACCCCGAUACGUGUAUCGGGUUGAAAGUAUCGUACGAAUAAGGAUCGGCUAACUCCGUGCCAGCAGCCGCGGUAAUACGGAGGAUCCGAGCGUUAUCCGGAUUUAUUGGGUUUAAAGGGUGCGUAGGCGGUUUGAUAAGUUAGAGGUGAAAUGUCGGGGCUCAACCCCGAAACUGCCUCUAAUACUGUUGGACUAGAGAAUAGUUGCGGUAGGCGGAAUGUAUGGUGUAGCGGUGAAAUGCUUAGAGAUCAUACAGAACACCGAUUGCGAAGGCAGCUUACCAAACUAUAUCUGACGUUGAGGCACGAAAGCGUGGGUAGCAAACAGGAUUAGAUACCCUGGUAGUCCACGCAGUAAACGAUGAUAGCUCGUUGUCGGCG